rnacentral:lncRNA from 1 species
UGGAAAACCAAAACACGAGGAGAAACUGAAACUGAAUGUAGAUAUUGACAAAAUUAUUUAAUUAUUAUGGACUUGUGUGAAAUAAUCUAGGUGGAGCAUCGAGGGAAUUGGAUUAUGUGAAGGUAGAAGUUUCGAUCGAGGCCAGAUUUUCUAAAUGACAGUGGAAAAUUAUUGAAUGAACGGCGAUAAACCAAAGUGUGCCUAGUACUAGCGGAAUACAGAGAAACAUGCAUGGUCAUCUCCGUGGUAAAGUUAUGUCUAAAUUGGGAAGGUAUCUUUGCAAUAGUUGGUCAGUUCACAGAUGUGAUAGAAUUUAAACUCCAUGAGAAAUUCUUCUGUGUGCAUAAUGUUAGAUGGUAGAAAGCCUUUUGGUAUGAUGCAGCCAUUUCUGAAGAAAUUCAAAAUAUACUUGCAGUAAUUACCACUGCGGUCUGUGAAUAUUAUGCUGUCAGUGAUUCAGAACAAGCUGUUCUGUGAAGAAUCGAUUCUAGAAGGACCUUUAUACUGGGCUUUGUGCUAAAUGAUUGACAGUUGACCGCCGGACAGUGAUUUGUAUAUGAACUUUGAUGUAUACAGUGUCCGUCAAGAGAAUCAUGAUUUCCCGAAGGUAUGUUUUAUUUACUUUUGUGUUUAUCACCAAUGAUUACUAUGCAUUAUCCAUGUCCAUUAACUGUUAAUUAUGUCACCACAAUGCGACCUAUUGUUCGUUUACACGACUGUAAGUUGCUGUGUCCAAAAGUUGGU